AGACCUGGCACAAGAGACAUAGUGAGUGAGCAACUUUUAAAGAGAUCUGAGAGACAGAGGGAUAUUGGAAGAGAUGGAGAAACAGGGACACAUGAGAGAAGCAAACAGGAAGAGGAUGUUUAGGGAAUGAAGGGGGUCAGAAUGGGAAAUGGCAAAGUUGUUUGGAAAGAAAACAAUGGUGCACCAUUUGGAAAGGUAGGAUGGCUAAGGCACUAGCCUAGGAGUUGGGGUGCCUAGGCUCAUUUCACAUUUCUGCCACAGAUUUCCUGUAUAAUCUUAGUCAAGUCACUAGCUUGCUUGUGCCUCAGCUUUGCAUCUGUAAAAUGGGAUAUAUCAGUUCUCUAGCUUACAGGCUAUUGUGAAGAUCCACGCAUUGACUGAGGCACAUGCCAGAACUACAGUAAUGGCUCGAGCAGGGAGCCACGCCAGAGGGGCUAAAUUACACACCAGCUUGUGUGCGUGUGUCCAGACACGGUACAUACGGGUCUCACUGCAACGGGGAAACUGAGGCACCAAGGGCAAGCAAGCUGCCGUGUGGCACUGAGAUCAGAAGCUACGUACCCCGGCCUCCCCCGGCCCACGCUCUAACCACCACACCACGCUGCCGCCAGCCUCCAUCAAGGGGCGAGGGAAGAAAACGGGUCGAUGCCCCUUUAAGGACUCGAAACCCCAAUGAACAUUCCAGUGGCUAUGUCAUCGUUCCUGGAAACGGAUGGCGUCAUCCCGUCCCGGCCGCCCUUGGCGGGUGACUGAGCAGCUCGAAUCUGAAACAAAGGAGUAAAAAUAGCACCGCUGGGCGGGGCACGCCACGGCCGCUCGGCUCCGAGCCACGCCGGAGUACGGUGGCUGGCGAGGGCUAUUCAGCUCCAGUCUUCGCAGAGGGGGGCGAGGGGGCACCUGGGUGACGACUUACAGUGGACUUCUUAAUCAGUUUGGUUCAAGAUUUCACAUUCCUGAUGUCAAUGUUGCCUCCCUCAGGCACUGGCCUAGGUUUCUGUCCAAGAGAGUGUGAGAUGUCCCGCACUUCUCUUAGAAGAUGAGUCCAUUUCCUGAGAUCUCACUGGCACAUUUUUCCUGUGGUUGCAUUUCAAUGAUGGAUGAAGUAAUCCCUGAAGAUAGUUUGUUAGUAAACUGCUUUUGGGUGAAAGUUGCUACAUACAUGUGAUAAAACAUUGCCUCCCUUUCUCACUCAUUUCUAAUCUUCUACUGACGAGUGAUACAUUAAUGCUACUUGUUUCUUCAAAGAUCUCAUAUCAAAAAGGAACCAAUUUGAUGGUGCCAGAGAGCAGCAGAGAAUGGAGGUCACUCCAUGAUGUGUUAUAGAGAUGAAGAAGUCCCACCCAAAGUCUUUGAUGCACCUUCUGUGUCCUGUCCUGGCAGCAGUCAGUUGGCUAGCAGCCAUCAGUUCUUUUUUGCACUGCCUGCUGUUUACAGAAGCACCUGUCCAACUAUGAUACCAAGAUACUUGCAAUCCACAUAUCAAGUAUUCUGCCUGAAUCCUUCCCUGAAUAAAUCUCACUUGUCAUGUAUUUGUGAUUCAACUGGAAUUUGAAAUUGUUAGAACACUAUCAUUUAUGUAGCUAGCCUUUCUGUAAAACAUUUGCAGUGUACUGUAAAUGAAG